AUACGGAGGGUGCAAGCGUUAUUCGGAAUCACUGGGCGUAAAGGACGCGUAGGCGGGUUGGCAAGUCAGAUGUGAAAUCCUACAGCUUAACUGUAGAACUGCAUUUGAAACUGCUAACCUAGAGUAUGGGAGGGGGAGAUGGAAUUAGUGGUGUAGGGGUAAAAUCCGUAGAUAUCACUAGGAAUACCGAAAGCGAAGGCGAUCUCCUGGAACAUAACUGACGCUAAGGCGUGAAAGCAUGGGGAGCAAACAGGAUUAGAUACCCCAGUAGUCC
rnacentral:rRNA from 1 species